CAAAGUUUUGGUCCUAAACUUGCUGCUGUUUUUGAUUAAAAUUACACAUGUAAGUAUCCGCAUACCAGUGAACACAGCCCCAAAAGUAAAAACGGAGCAGACAUCAGGCACGAAUUUCAGCCCAAAACGCCUAGCUACGCCACACCCCCACGGGUUAUCAACAGUGACAAACAUUAAGCCAUAAGCGACACACUAAAAUAAAGCUUGACCUAGUUAUAAUCAUUUAGAGCCGGUCAAUCUCGUGCCAGCCACCGCGGUUAUACGAGAGGCCCAAACCAGCAGCCAACGGCGUAAAUUGUGACUAGAAACACUCCAAAAACAAAGGAGAAAACCCCUGCCUAUCCGUAAAACAUUAAGGCAAGACUGAAUCUUCUUUAAUUCAAGUACUUUGAACUCACGAAAGCUAAGAAACAAACUAGGAUUAGAUACCCUACUAUGCUCAGCUAUAAAAAGACAUUUAUUAACAAAAUGUCCGCCAGAGAAUUACAAGCGAAAAGCUUAAAACUCAAAAGACUUGGCGGUGUCCCACACCCGACUUAGAGGAGCCUGUCCUAUAAUCGAUAACCCACGAUAAACCUAACCCCCCUUUGCCAAUCCGCCUAUAUACCGCCGUCGAAAAUCUACCUCACAAGAGAAAUACUGUAGAUUAAAUAGUGAUACACUAAAACGUCAGGUCAAGGUGUAGCUUAUAGGGUGGAUGAGAUGGGCUACAUUCUUUAAUCUAUAAAGAACACAGAAAGAGCUAUGAAACACCCCCUAAAGGAGGAUUUAACAGUAAAGUUGGCAAGAAUACCAACUUUAAGUUCGCUCUGGGACGCGCACACACCGCCCGUCACCCUCCUCUACCAAUACAAACUAUUUUAUAAAAGAUACAAACACAAAAGAUGAGGCAAGUCGUAACAUGGUAAGCGCACUGGAAAGUGUGCUUGGAACA
rnacentral:ncRNA from 1 species